rnacentral:tRNA from 1 species
GCGGCUGAUUGUGAAUAUUUAAAACUAUUAAUACAACGCAGUUUUUCUAGCCUCCGAAGCCAAGGGUCGUGGGUUCGAUCCCCGCCAGCCGCACCA